rnacentral:rRNA from 1 species
CCUACGGGGUGCAGCAGUGAGGAAUAUUGGUCAAUGGUCGUAAGACUGAACCAGCCAUGCCGCGUGCAGGAUGACGGCCCUAUGGGUUGUAAACUGCUUUUAUGCGGGGAUAAACUCAGUCACGCGUGAUUGUUUGUAAGUACCGUAUGAAUAAGGACCGGCUAAUUCCGUGCCAGCCGCCGCGGUAAUACGGAGGGUUCGGGCGUUAUCCGGAUUUAUUGGGUUUAAAGGGAGCGUAGGCGGUAUGUUAAGCGUGCCGUGAAAUGCCGGGGCUCAACCGUGGCAUUGCGGCGGAUACUGGCCGGCUAGAGUGUAGGGGAGGUAUGCGGAAUGCGUGGUGUAGCGGUGAAAUGCUUAGAUAUCAGGAAGAACACCGAUUGCGAAGGCAGCAUAC